GAUGAACGCUGGCGGCGUGCCUAAUACAUGCAAGUCGAGCGAACAGAUAAGGAGCUUGCUCCUUUGAAGUUAGCGGCGGACGGGUGAGUAACACGUGGGUAACCUACCUAUAAGACUGGGAUAACUUCGGGAAACCGGAGCUAAUACCGGAUAACAUUUAGAACCGCAUGGUUCUAAAGUGAAAGGUGGUUUUGCUAUCACUUAUAGAUGGACCCGCGCCGUAUUAGCUAGUUGGUAAGGUAACGGCUUACCAAGGCGACGAUACGUAGCCGACCUGAGAGGGUGAUCGGCCACACUGGAACUGAGACACGGUCCAGACUCCUACGGGAGGCAGCAGUAGGGAAUCUUCCGCAAUGGGCGAAAGCCUGACGGAGCAACGCCGCGUGAGUGAUGAAGGGUUUCGGCUCGUAAAACUCUGUUAUUAGGGAAGAACAAAUGUGUAAGUAACUGUGCACAUCUUGACGGUACCUAAUCAGAAAGCCACGGCUAACUACGUGCCAGCAGCCGCGGUAAUACGUAGGUGGCAAGCGUUAUCCGGAAUUAUUGGGCGUAAAGCGCGCGUAGGCGGUUUCUUAAGUCUGAUGUGAAAGCCCACGGCUCAACCCGUGGAGGGUCAUUGGAAACUGGGAAACUUGAGUGCAGAAGAGGAAAGUGGAAUUCCAUGUGUAGCGGUGAAAUGCGCAGAGAUAUGGAGGAACACCAGUGGCGAAGGCGACUUUCUGGUCUGUAACUGACGCUGAUGUGCGAAAGCGUGGGGAUCAAACAGGAUUAGAUACCCUGGUAGUCCACGCCGUAAACGAUGAGUGCUAAGUGUUAGGGGGUUUCCGCCCCUUAGUGCUGCAGCUAACGCAUUAAGCACUCCGCCUGGGGAGUACGACCGCAAGGUUGAAACUCAAAGGAAUUGACGGGGACCCGCACAAGCGGUGGAGCAUGUGGUUUAAUUCGAAGCAACGCGAAGAACCUUACCAAAUCUUGACAUCCUUUGAAAACUCUAGAGAUAGAGCCUUCCCCUUCGGGGGACAAAGUGACAGGUGGUGCAUGGUUGUCGUCAGCUCGUGUCGUGAGAUGUUGGGUUAAGUCCCGCAACGAGCGCAACCCUUAAGCUUAGUUGCCAUCAUUAAGUUGGGCACUCUAGGUUGACUGCCGGUGACAAACCGGAGGAAGGUGGGGAUGACGUCAAAUCAUCAUGCCCCUUAUGAUUUGGGCUACACACGUGCUACAAUGGACAAUACAAAGGGCAGCUAAACCGCGAGGUCAUGCAAAUCCCAUAAAGUUGUUCUCAGUUCGGAUUGUAGUCUGCAACUCGACUACAUGAAGCUGGAAUCGCUAGUAAUCGUAGAUCAGCAUGCUACGGUGAAUACGUUCCCGGGUCU
rnacentral:rRNA from 1 species